GAUGAAGAACGUAGCGAAAUGCGAUAAGUAAUGCGAAUUGCAGAAUUCAGUGAGUCAUCGAAUCUUUGAACGCACAUUGCGCCCGCCAGUAUUCUGGCGGGCAUGCCUGUUCGAGCGUCAUUUCAACCAUCAAGCCCCCGGGCUUGUGUUGGGGACCUGCGGCUGCCGCAGGCCCUGAAAAGCAGUGGCGGGCUCGCUGUCACACCGAGCGUAGUAGAUUUUAUCUCGCUCAGGGCGUGCUGCGGGUUCCGGCCGUUAAACCACCUUCAUAACCCAAGGUUGACCUCGGAUCAGGUAGGAAGACCCGCUGAACUUAAGCAUAUCAAUAAGCGGAGGA
rnacentral:misc_RNA from 1 species